rnacentral:rRNA from 1 species
UACGGGGGGGGCAAGCGUUGUUCGGAAUUACUGGGCGUAAAGGGCUCGUAGGUGGCCAACUAAGUCGGACGUGAAAUCCCUCAGCUUAACUGGGGAACUGCGUCCGAUACUGGAUGGCUUGAGUUUGGGAGAGGGAUGCGGAAUUCCAGGUGUAGCGGUGAAAUGCGUAGAGAUGUGGAGGAACACCGAUGGCGAAGGCAGCCUCCUGGGCCAACACUGACGCUCAUGCACGAAAGCGUGGGGAGCAAACAGG